AAUGAACGCUGGCGGCGUGCCUAAUACAUGCAAGUCGAGCGAACGGAUGAGGAUCUUUCUCCUCUUCCGUUGGCGACGGGCGGGUGAGUAACACGUGGAUAACCUACCUAUAAGACUGGGAUCACUUCGGGGGACCGGAUCUAAUACCGGUUCAUAUAUUGAACCGCAUGGUUCAAUAGUGAUAGCCGUUUUUGCUGUCACUUAUAGAUGUUUCCAGGUCGGAUUGGUUAGUUGGUAAGGUAAAGGCUUACCAAGGCGACGAUGCGUGACUGACCUGAGAGGAUGAUCAGGCACAAUGGAACUGAGACACGGGCCAGACUCCUACGGGAGGGAGCAGUGGGGAAUAUUGGACAAUGGGGGAAAGCCUGAACCAGCCAUGCCGCGUGGGUGAAGAAGGGCUUCGGAUUGUAAAACACUUUUAGUUGGGAAGAAAAGAAGUAGGAUAAAACCUUGCAGUUUUGACGGUACCAAAAGAAUAAGCACCGGCUAACUUCGUG
rnacentral:rRNA from 1 species